rnacentral:rRNA from 1 species
CCUACGGGAGACAGCAGUGAGGAAUAUUGGUCAAUGGCCGGAAGGCUGAACCAGCCAAGCCGCGUGAAGGACGAAGGUGCCAAGCAUUGUAAACUUCUUUUGUCAAGGGACAAACUCAGGCUCGAGAGCCUGACCGAGGGUACUUGAAGAAAAAGCAUCGGCUAACUCCGUGCCAGCAGCCGCGGUAAUACGGAGGAUGCGAGCGUUAUCCGGAUUUAUUGGGUUUAAAGGGUGCGUAGGCGGACUGUUAAGUCAGCGGUAAAAGCCCGGGGCUCAACCCCGGCGAGCCGUUGAAACUGGCGGUCUUGAGAUGUCGAGAGGUAUGCGGAAUGCGCAGUGUAGCGGUGAAAUGCUUAGAUAUUGCGCAGAACUCCGAUUGCGAAGGCAGCAUACCGGCGGCGAUCUGACGCUGAGGCACGAAAGCGUGGGUAUCGAACAGGAUUAGAUACCCCUGUAGUC